GGCAGCAGUGGGGAAUCUUGGACAAUGGGGGCAACCCUGAUCCAGCCAUGCCGCGUGAGUGAUGAAGGCCCUAGGGUCGUAAAGCUCUUUCGCCUGUGAAGAUAAUGACGGUAGCAGGUAAAGAAACCCCGGCUAACUCCGUGCCAGCAGCCGCGGUAAUACGGAGGGGGUUAGCGUUAUUCGGAAUUACUGGGCGUAAAGCGCACGUAGCGGAUUAGUCAGUCGGAGGUGAAAUCCCAGGGCUCAACCCUGGAACUGCCUUUGAUACUGCUAGUCUUGAGUUCGAGAGAGGUAAGUGGAAUUCCGAGUGUAGAGGUGAAAUUCGUAGAUAUUCGGAGGAACACCAGUGGCGAAGGCGGCUUACUGGCUCGAUACUGACGCUGAGGUGCGAAAGUGUGGGGAGCAAACAGGAUUAGAUACCCUGGUAGUCCACACCGUAAACGAUGAAUGCCAGUCGUCGGGUAGUAUACUAUUCGGUGACACACCUAACGGAUUAAGCAU
rnacentral:rRNA from 1 species